UUUCUAGCAACACUGUCAUAUUCAUUGCGUUUGCGCUGUUUGUUUUGAUAGGUUUUCAUGGGUGAACUUGCUGCUAGAUAUUUGUUUAUUUUUGUGCCUAAUUAAAAUGGAUACUUCCUUUUGACACUGGAAUAGACAACGUUUGUCAGUGCAACUCUGCGAAUCAACGAAUAACAGCAGCGGGCGGGACGAGACAGCAACGGAUUUAGAGGGAUGUGGCAUCUAUUAUCGAGACUUCCGCCGAUGAUUGACGUUACGUAUGCCUGCUCAAAAAUGAACGCCUCUACACAACAGGAUUGUCCCAAGGGGCACAUGAAAAUAAUCGCGAGUCUAAGCCUAGUUUUUCCCGUGAUUCUGAGUGAUUUCCCGGCCAAUAAACUUACACUAGCAGCGGAGGAAAACAAAAAAGGUUGAGUCGGCCAAGGUCAUUGAAGCAGAAAAGUUCGCUGAGCAGCAUUUUUUUUUAUUUCAAAGGAAACUACGCAACCGAACGAUGGAGUGGCAUUGCCAGUUAGAGGGAAGACAUUUUUAGCAAAUGUAAUCUGAGAACAGACAAGUUUCCCCCACGUAAAACUAUAGCCGGAGGACGAUAUCACCUUAGUUUAAGAGAUUUUCUGUAACAAACACAAUCAUCUACAGUUCAGUAAUUUAGUAAAUCAUUAUUGUUAUUAUUACUUCUGUAAAUUUUGGUUUAUUGAAAUAAAAUGUAACCUCCGUAUGCAUUGUCUGUAUAUAUAUAUUGCGUUGUACCGUUGUACCCGAACAUCGUACAUGCCGCAUUAGAUCAUGAAAUGACAAAUCACAAAUGCAAGCAAAGCUGAAUGUGGAAAGUGUUGAAUUCUUGAAUAUGGUAGAAAGGUUUUUUAAUUAAUUUCAUGAAUCCGAGUAUAGGGAACUGUUCACAGUUUAUGUAAACGCUUUAGAAGGAAGGGGUCGGUUCAAACAUUAGGGUUCAUACGAGUAAAUUGAAUUCUCUCAGAGUCACAAAAAGGAGAGGCAUAAAAUUGCACAUUUUCGCGUUACGUUAUUUGUGAACAGUCCGUAGUGAGGUAUGGU